rnacentral:rRNA from 1 species
CCUACGGGGGGCAGCAGUGAGGAAUAUUGGUCAAUGGACGAGAGUCUGAACCAGCCAAGUCGCGUGAAGGAUGACUGCCCUAUGGGUUGUACACUUCUUUUAUAUGGGAAUAAAAUGUCCCACGUGUGGGCUUUUGUAUGUACCCUAUGAAUAAGGAUCGGCUAACUCCGUGCCAGCAGCCGCGGUAAUACGGAGGAUCCGAGCGUUAUCCGGAUUUAUUGGGUUUAAAGGGGGCGUAGGUGGAUUGUUAAGUCAGUUGUGAAAGUUUGGGGCUCAACCGUAAAAUUGCGGUUGAAACUGGCAGUCGUGAGUGGGGGAGAGGUGUGCGGAAUGCGUGGUGUAGCGGUGAAAUGCUUAGAUAUCACGAAGAACUCCGAUUGCGAAGGCAGUACAUUGGACUGCGACUGACGCUGAGGCACGAAAGUGUGGGUAUCGAACAGGAUUAGAUACCCUUGUAGUC